rnacentral:misc_RNA from 1 species
UGAUAUUACUUACUCCAAAACCAUCAACUGCCGCUCAAAACCCACAAAACCCAAAAGCAAUGCAGUGAAGUGGGACCCAAAUUCUCCGCCGGAGCAACCACUCAGUGGAAUUUUCUUCCCUUUCUACGCCAAUCUGCCGCUGCUCAAAAUCAACAAAACAGAUCACAAUUGUGAAAAUUCUUUUUUUACAUGGUUGGCUCCAUAGAAACUUCAGCUAGUAGCUCUUAAAUCCCUUUGAUAGUACCCAACUGCUGAAUAGAUGUCGAUGUCAAUUUCAUAUUUAUCGGUGCCCUUCUCGGAUUCUUCGGUUACUAGGCCGAUCCCACUUUGCCCCAGUGCUCGAAAAAUCUGUGCUCGGAGUUGUGGCUUUACGGCCGUGACAAGGAACAUUUAUUCGGUGGAAGGUAGCCGUCUUAUGCUUUAUGGAGGAACUGCCAAUUUCUGCCGAAGGUUGUGUGGCUUAAAGCUAUGGAUACGUAAGAGCCUUAACCUUCGACAGCGCAGUAGAGAAUGUAGACCUGCAAAGGAGUUGAAGAUUAUUAAAAAUCAAGAGAAGGAUCACUUAACAAAUCAUUUGGAAACAACUUCAACACAUGCUGGACAAGUUUCUGAAGAAGUCCUGAAGAUAAAUGUGCCAAGUGCUGCUUCUGUGGAGUCUCCUUCAUCUUUGACGCAAGCACAUUCCUAUAAUUUCUCCAUCGAGGGUGGUAGAGCAACUUCUCUCUGUAUUGCUGUUAUAGGAGCUACUGGUGAACUGGCUAGGGGGAAAAUUUUUCCAGCGUUAUUUGCUCUGUAUUAUAGUGGCUUUUUACCUGAGGUCAGAUUAAUAUCAUUAUUCUGUUGCACUUUUUUUUUACACUGCCUGUUAUGCUCUCUUUAUUAAGGAAUAAUGGGGAAACCCUCAAUGGCUGAAUGUUGUUUUCUUCCAAGAUAUUUCACUAACAUUUUCCAAGCUGGAGUUACAAAUUUAUCCUUCUUCUAGUCUCAGUAGUCCAUUGUUGCAGGAUGUAGCUGUCUUUGGUUAUUCAAGGAAGAAUUUGACAGAUGAGGAUCUGAGAUCCAUUAUAGCUUCUAAUUUGACUUGCCGCAUUGAUCAUCAACAGAACUGUGGAGACAAAAUGGAGGCUUUUCUUAGUAGGACAUACUACCUUAAUGGAGGUUGCGACAACAGAGAAGGGAUGUCAAAGCUAAAUGCCAGAAUGGAGAAUAUUGAGCAUACCAAAUGCAGGGUGGACAUGAAGUAAAUAGGAUAUUCUAUCUUUCUGUGCCACAAGAGGCACUCCUUGAUGUUGCAUCUUCUCUUGCUGACAAUGCCCAAACCCGAAGGGGCUGGAAUCGUAUAAUAAUUGAGAAGCCCUUUGGAUUUGAUGCACCAUCUUCUCAUCAAUUGACUAAGUCUCUUCUUUCUAAGUUUGAGGAGAAACAAUUAUACAGGAUAGAUCAUCUUUUAGGAAGAAACCUUAUUGAGAACCUCACAGUAUUAAGAUUUUCAAAUCUUGUUUUUGAGCCAUUGUGGAGCCGAACUUAUAUACGCAACGUACAGAUCAUUUUAUCAGAAGAUCUUAGUGUGCAGACUGGAAGGUAUUUUGAUGGGUAUGGGAUCAUUCGGGACAUAGUGCAUAGUCAUAUAUUUCAGACAAUAGCAUUACUUGCCAUGGAGCCACCUAUAAGUCUUGAUGGUGAAGAUAUUCGAAAUGAAAAAGUCAAGGUUUUAAGAUCAAUUUGCAGAUUGGAUCCUAGUGAUGUUAUCCUUGGGCAAUAUAAAGCUAUUUCUGGGGACAAGGUUGAUGUAAAGUUGAACGAUAUGACACCAACGUUUUUUGCUGCUGCAUUAUACAUUGACAAUGCACGCUGGGAUGGUGUGCCUUUUAUUGUCAAAACUGGCAUGGGACUCAUCAAACACAGAGUGGAGAUACGUAUACAGUUCCAUUGUGUCCCUGGAAAUAUUUAUCGGGAGCGCAUUGGACAUAACAUUGGUAUGGCCACCAAUGAGCUGAUUUUGCGUGAUGUCCCUGAUGAAGCCAUCCUAGUCAGAAUUAACAAUAAGAUUCCUGGACUAGGCUUGCAUUUGGAUGCUUCUGAACUUAAUUUGCUCUACAAGGACAGGUAUAAUGUGGAAGUGCCUGAUUCAUAUGAGCAUCUUCUUCUUGAUGUCAUUGAUGGAGAUAACCAUCUCUUUAUGAGAAGUGAUGAGCUUGCAGCUGCGUGGAGUAUUCUAACUCCCAUUCUCCAUGAGAUAGACAAGAACAAUAUUGCACCGGAGCUGUAUGAAUUAGGAGGUAGAGGUCCAAUUGGAGCAUACUAUCUUUGGGCCAAGCAUGGGGUUCGGUGGGCAGACGACUGAAAAAGGUUUUUACCAAAAGUUCUGCCAUCUGAAACCGAUACAUGACUUGUGGUAAAUAAUACCGUGUUGCUGCCUGCAUCAACAAAUGAAUGUUUUGAAUACACAAAUCCUGUAAAAUUUGGAUGGGCAGUUCAUCUUGUGAUUGCAAUAGAAUUAUCCAAAACAGCUAGGGCGUUCUCUCUCUCUCUCUCUCUGCCAUGUCAUUUCCCUGUUCCAGGAACUGGUACUGUUAGCACAACAAAUUUCCAUUACAUGCUUUAGCUGUCGUGUGCCUGCUUUAAGAGCAAACAACAUGAUAUAGUCUCUCCAAUUCUGGCUGCCUCAUUUUAUUAAUUAAACAUUUAAACACAUGAUAAAAUGAGUUUGUACUUCUUCAUCCUUUAAAAACUUAGUGUGUAGUUGCAUGUAAGUGUAUAUUAAAGAUAUAAAACCACUCUUAUAGUCUUU